rnacentral:ncRNA from 1 species
UUAAUUACUGAGAACAAGACUAGUAGCAAUAAGAACUUGAUUAGAGAGGCCUUUUUAUUAGCUGAAAGAAAGGCUGAAGUUUAAGUUGUGAAUUUCAUCUUGCGAGUAGGAUCUAAUCAAUUCCGGUAUUUCACCGUUAUCGAAAGCAAAAGUGUAGGCAUAAUCUUCUAUGUCUAAACUAGGGUGGUACCGCGAAGCUUCGUCCCUUUU